GACGAACGCUGGCGGCGUGCCUAAUACAUGCAAGUCGAACGAAUCUUGAUUAGGAGCUUGCUUCUAAUCAAGGUUAGUGGCGGACGGGUGAGUAACACGUAGGCAACCUGCCCACAAGAUCGGGAUAACAUUCGGAAACGAAUGCUAAGACCGGAUAAACAAGUUUGCCGCAUGGUGGGCUUGGGGAAACACGGAGCAAUCUGUGGCUUGCGGAUGGGCCUGCGGCGCAUUAGCUAGUUGGUGGGGUAAUGGCCCACCAAGGCGACGAUGCGUAGCCGACCUGAGAGGGUGAACGGCCACACUGGGACUGAGACACGGCCCAGACUCCUACGGGAGGCUG
rnacentral:rRNA from 1 species